rnacentral:rRNA from 1 species
GACGAACGCUGGCGGCGUGCCUAACACAUGCAAGUCGAGGGUUUUAGUAGUAAUACGAAGAACACUGGCGCACGGGUGAGUAACGCGUAGAUCAUCUGCCCCUAACACUGACAUAACAGUUCUAACGGACUGCUAAUAUCAGAUGUGAUAAGCAAUUAUUAAAGGGUAACCGGUUAGGGAUGAGUCUGCGUCUGAUUAGGUAGUUGGUGAGGUAACGGCUCACCAAGCCUACGAUCAGUAACUGGUCUGAGAGGGCGGAACAGUCACACUGGAACUGAGACACGGUCCAGACUCCUACGGGAGGCAGCAGUGAGGAAU